UACAUCCUGUACAGAUGGGGGCUGUAUGAUCUAUUUCUUUUGUUUUUUUGUUUAACAUCCACUUGAAAAUUAAGGUAAGAAAACCUUGCAGUUGAGAAAAAAAAAUCUAUAGAGCUAUUGGGAUUUUCUAUUUUCUAUUUAGGACCUGCCUUUAAAAUCCUAAAGUGGUUUUCUGUCAAACCAUUUCAAACAGUUGACGCACAAGACACAUUGUUGCAUUUUUGACGUUGGAGAAUCGGGUCUUAACUCGUUCAGCUCUCAAACCACAUCUGUACUCUGUUUGAGUUACUGUAGUAUGCUUUGGUCCACCUCUGAAACUCUGCCCUGGCACACUUCACUUUCCAUUAGCUGUUUCGAAGCAUCUCGCCUCAACUUGAUUUAAGCUUUGAGCAUCGCUUUGACUUGGGCAAAGCGAGCAAAACAAACACCUACAGCUGUUCCUGAUAAUAUGGCAGAACCAUUAACUGUAUAUGAGAACUGGACCGAGUGAGUGUGACGUCACCUAUGGAAAAUGACCUACUUUCAAAUCAAGUCAAUUUAGUGUUCCUUCUGUUGCGAUAUGGACACCGCCAUGUUGGAACCAAACAACGUCAGUAAGCACUGAUUUGUCCAAGUCAGCCUGAGUUGCCAUUUUUCUUCCAACCUCUCUCACCAACCAGGAGUGAGCUUGUUGGAAAUCCCUAUCCCUACUACUUGAAAGUGGUCUCAGGAGAAUCUGUCAAUCAGAUGUUUCAAACAUGAGACCAAGUACUUUUAUUAAGGCAUAUGACUGGUCAGUUUAUAACUCGAAUAACUUUCACUACAGAAGAAAUAUGAAAAUUAGUAUUAGCAAGAAUAUGUUAAAAAAAAAAGGUAGCAGAGCAAGAAUGGUUAUUCUGACAAAGAACUGAUACCUGUUUAUUUUUCAAUAGAAGUCAAAAGAAUUUCAGUUUUUGGGACCAGUGGGUACUUCCAGUGGAGGAUGAAAGGGUCACUCAGUCCAGUUCCAAUGUACAGUCAAAUUGCAGAACCCAGGCCACCAAUUCUCACAUGAAGUCCAAAAAUCACAUGUUACACCAAUGCAGUGCAUUUGGAACUACUCAAGUAAAAUUCAAAGCCACAGCACAGUACGACUCCAAGUGGAAACUAGUUCCUAGACCGAGCUGUGUCCGUGUUAUGGAAGAGUGGUGUUAAUUGUAGCUUAUCACAGAGCAAAGGUAGUACCCUAGCCAAACAAAACCUUUCUCAAAUGUGUAGAUUUAUGACUGUGAGAAGUCCUUUUAAUGCAGAGUAAUAAUGAGGUUCUCCACACCUCCUCUGCCCCAGCAGCUCUUCUCUAAGUGUCAGCUGUAGACAGAUGUCACAUCAGAGCCUCAUACAGUCCAUCUCUUCACAUUUCUGUUUUGAUCAUGACUGUCACUGGAUCAGGCCUUGGUAUGUUACGAUAUCAGAUUUCUGUCUUAUUUGCUAUAAAACAUUGAAUUCAAGAGAUGCCUGUACUUCUUUCCAGAACUUUUUUCAGUCUCUGUUUCCAACUGUCUGUGUUCUGGCCUCUGAGACUGAAUUAUUGAAAGAGAAAUGUCUUUUCUAGUUACCUUGUCAUGGUGCCUCUGUCAGACUCCUCCCCCUCCCCUCUCUGCUUGGUUCCCUGAUUCAGCCCAGCUGCGACCACUCUACUCAUCUUUUCCACCUGCCUAUUUAAGGAGCUCCUGGACCAGUAUUCUUCGCCAGUCCGUUGCCCCUGAUGGAAUUCAUUGCCACGAGUGGUCGCCUGCGUCAGCAGCCUUUCCGGAACACAGCCUUGUCAUUGCCUCCUGUCAAGCCUUGAGCCUCUGCCAUUCCUUCAAUCCACCACGAGCCUCUGCCGAGCCUUCAGCCCAUCUUGAGCGGCGGUCACAACCACCAGUGACGUCACGAGCGGACGUAAACCCUCCAUCUUUGUCGUGGGUCCUCCCCGGAGUCAGCCGCUUCACUAAAGAAAACCCUCUAAUCAAGUCCUGAAUAUUAAACCUUUCCAAACCAU